rnacentral:rRNA from 1 species
GACGGGGGGGGCAAGUGUUCUUCGGAAUGACUGGGCGUAAAGGGCACGUAGGCGGACCUGCAAGUCGGGGGUGAAAGCCCGAGGCUCAACCUCGGAACUGCCUUCGAUACUGCGGGUCUCGAGUCCGGGAGAGGUGAGUGGAAUUCCUAGUGUAGAGGUGAAAUUCGUAGAUAUUAGGAAGAACACCAGUGGCGAAGGCGGCUCACUGGCCCGGUACUGACGCCUGAGGCGCGAAAGCGUGGGG